UCCAGAUACCACCCAAGAUCUUGUUUGUCUCACUUUCAUAGAAUUCCACGUCAUUUUCUUUUUCUUCCAUCUUAAACUUAUCAUUUUUUUAUAUUUCCAUUGUCUAAAUCUCUGUCGAUCCCUUAACCAGCUAGAGUAAUCCUUUUCCGGCUUGCAUUCAAUGAAGUCAGCUAAAUCAUCAAAAUCAGAUACUCGGGAGUUUUGUCCAAGUACACAUUUCAGGAACAUCUCACCAUUACUGGUUUCCUUAGUAUUGUCUGCUACAGCAGAAUCCAGGUCAUUUGGGACAGAGGAAUAUUUUAAAGUUUCCGCUUGCUCGUCUUGUUUUAUUUUGUUAGAACAUAUGAACGAACCUGUUCUCAAGUACAUAUCAUGAAUCUUCUGAAAUUUUGAUGAAAUUAUUCGGCUAGUUUUUCUGAUCACCAGGACCCCUUCAACAUUGUCAGACAAUUUAGGUGAACAGGAAUUUGAUCCAAAACCAAAUAAUGACCCUAGUGCACUGAGAUCACACUCUUCAACAAGAAACCAAUUCAACAGUGUCAUCAUCAUAAAUAAACAGCUCUUCACUAAGAAAUCAAUCCCACUAACAUAAGUUAAUGAAAGCAAGCCUGAAAGAUGCAAAAGCAUCCACUUGG
rnacentral:misc_RNA from 1 species